rnacentral:rRNA from 1 species
UACGUAGGGUGCGAGCGUUGUCCGGAAUUAUUGGGCGUAAAGGGCUCGUAGGCGGUGUGUCGCGUCGGGAGUGAAAACUCAGGGCUUAACCCUGAGCCUGCUUCCGAUACGGGCAGACUAGAGGUAUGCAGGGGAGAACGGAAUUCCUGGUGUAGCGGUGAAAUGCGCAGAUAUCAGGAGGAACACCGGUGGCGAAGGCGGGUCUCUGGGCCGAUACUGACGCUGAGGAGCGAAAGCGUGGGGAGCGAACAGG